CCAGUAGCGUCAUAGAGCUAAGAUCCACUGAACAGGCCUCAGCCUUGUUUGCUGCACUUCACGCCAUGCUGUGGGGCUGGAAAUAUUGCUGGGAAACUGAUUUGGCUGGAUUUUAUCAUAACUGCCAGACUGGAAAUUCCAGAGAUGGACUUCAGCAGGACACAGAGACGCUUCGGCUGGACUCAGCACGGCAAAGUGCAGGCAGCAGUGGCUCCAGUUAUCCUGCAGCACCAGUGUGGGAGGCAGACCUCUCUGGCAGAGAGCUCUUGAAUCUGGCAGGCAAAACCAGGAUCUUUGCAGAAAUAUGCAAUGCACUUUUAACACUGAGCACUAUUGGCCCAUUGGACCAACUUGCCUAGUGAUGCAGAAGAUUUGCUUUCAGCAGAAAGGCUUUAAUUCAAG
rnacentral:lncRNA from 1 species